CGUGUAGGCGGCCUGGUAGGUCAGCUGUGAAAACUCGAGGCUCAACCUCGAGACGUCGGUUGAAACCACCUGGCUAGAGUCCGGAAGAGGAGAGUGGAAUUCCCGGUGUAGCGGUGAAAUGCGCAGAUAUCGGGAAGAACACCCGUGGCGAAGGCGGCUCUCUGGGACGGUACUGACGCUGAGACGCGAAAGCGUGGGGAGCGAACA
rnacentral:rRNA from 1 species